rnacentral:rRNA from 1 species
UACGUAGGGUGCGAGCGUUAAUCGGAAUUACUGGGCGUAAAGCGUGCGCAGGCGGUUCGUUGUGUCGGUGGUGAAAUCCCCGGGCUUAACCUGGGAACCGCAUUUGUGACUGCAUAGCUGGAGUACGGCAGAGGGGGAUGGAAUUCCGCGUGUAGCAGUGAAAUGCGUAGAUAUGCGGAGGAACACCGAUGGCGAAGGCAGUCCCCUGGGCCUGUACUGACGCUCAUGCACGAAAGCGUGGGGAGCAAACAGG